UUCCGUGCUUUUUGAACAGGUCUGGUUCAAUUGGUUUUGGAUCUUUGAAACUGAAUCAGAACCAAACAUUUUAUUUUUUUCUAAUCAAACGGUUUUGGAUUUUCAAGUUCUUAAUUUCCUCAACUUGAAGCCUUCACUGUUAUGAUGGUGAAAACGGAAGUUUUCUAACCACUUUUACAUAAAUUGAUAUAGAUUGAUGAUAGCCCCAUUUCAUUCCAAACAUUCCCCCCCGCCCCCUCUCUCUCCACAUUUUUCACAUUCCAUCCUUCCUUCUACUCCUAAUACUCUUCUUUCGCUUAAUCGCUUCUCUCUCUCUCUUUUACUGUUUUCUUCGAUGAUUCUUUGCCCCGCAUGAUCGCCGCCGUCUCUCCACUCUCUCCACCCAAACACACUGCCGUUUUCAUUCACACCACCAACCCUUUCUCCUUUCCUCUCCAUUCAGGAGCGGAUCCGGCCAAAAUGGAUUGGAUACGGAAGAGGAUGAAUUUCAGGUGUUUUAAUAAGAGAACUGACAGUAAAGUACUCAAGGUGGAGGUUGAAAGUGGCGGUGAGGAUUUUAUGGAUGCAGCUGUUGCAGAGGCUAGGGUUUCGCCUCAGCAUCUUGUUAUCAUGGUUAAUGGUAUUAUUGGGAGUUCUGCAGAUUGGAGAUAUGCGGCAGAUCAGUUUGUGAAAAAACUUCCUGACAAAAUACUUGUGCAUCGCAGUGAAUGCAACCAUUCAAAAUUGACGUUUGAUGGUGUUGAUUUGAUGGGUGACAGGCUAGCUGAAGAGGUAUUGGCAGUUGUUAGACACAGGCCUGAGGUGCGGAAAAUUUCCUUUGUGGCUCACUCACUAGGUGGACUUGUUGCAAGAUAUGCUAUAGCCAGGCUGUAUGAAAAUUUACCUAAAUCAGCCCUUUCAAAUCUCACUGAAAAUUCCUUGGAUGAAGAGCACACAAAUUCAAUGCACUGUCUUGAGCAGCCAUGUGAAGCUAGAAUUGCUGGAUUGGAACCUGUGAACUUCAUAACAUUUGCAACACCUCAUCUUGGUUCAAGGGGAAAUAAACAGCUCCCUAUUCUCUGUGGUCUUCCUUUCCUUGAGAGAAGAGCAUCUCAGACUGCUCAUUUAAUAGUUGGAAGGACGGGAAAGCAUCUGUUCCUAACAGACAAUGAUAAUGGGAUACCUCUUCUCCUUCAAAUGGUUAAUGAUUCUAAUGGCUUAAGAUUCAUAUCAGCUUUACGUGCAUUCAAGCGUCGUGUGGUAUAUGCAAAUGCAAAUUAUGAUCAUAUAGUUGGAUGGGGAACAUCAUCAAUUAGGCGUCAAAAUGAACUUCCCAAGUCCAAUCUUCUUGUGACAGAUAAUAAAUAUCCACAUAUUGUUUAUGUGGAGAGAGAAAGAGUGGACCACAAUUCUGAUAAAAAAACUCUUGUUGUUGGAGAGCAAACAACUGAUUUAGAAGAAGAGAUGAUCAAAGGACUGACUCAAGUACCUUGGGAACGUGUAGAUGUUAGCUUUCAUAAAAGCAAACAACGGUAUAUUGCUCACAAUACCAUUCAGGUGAAGUCGUAUUGGUUGAAUUCUGAUGGUGCUGAUGUGGUUUUCCACAUGAUAGAUAAUUUCCUUCUCUAGGCCUCUACUAGUUGGUUUCUUACAGUUGGUGAUUCUAUGAUGGAUGGGUUGCUUCUUUUUUAUGCAAUGGUCUACAUUGUGACAUAUGAAGGCAUUGCAGCAUAUACUUCCAUGUCAAUGAGGAGAUUCCAGGGGUACUGCAGAGUUGUAGCUAUCUUAAUAGACUUGCCUGUUCUUCGAAGAGACCUGAUAAAUCAAGAUCAUGGGACAUUGCUAUCAGUUGGAAAGCGUUUAUGAAACUUGAGGAUUUAGGGGUCUCUGUUUCUGAGGCGUUGACCUGCUUAGAAUUUCAGUUAUCCAGGUGAAAGCACAAAACUUGCAGUAGUUUUACUGUUUAUGAACAUUUACCUCGUCAGCAUCAAAAGCAGCAUUAACAUCAUCCAAGAAGAUUUUUUCAUCACAUUCAUAUCCACAAGAAGGCACGUAAUCUAUCUGAAACCAUUCAUCUUCAAGGAUCUCUGGUAAUGUUAUUCUCUGCGAUGAUGGAUGAUUGCAUUACUUUCUCGUUUGUUAUGAUCUUAGAAUUUGUUAAAGCAUAAAAACUCUUCUUGGUGAUAUACCUUUCUGGGAUUUGGAUCUAAUAUUCUUGAUAUUAGCUUCUUUUGACUUUCUGUAAA